ensembl:lncRNA
GGGAAGAAUUUGGGAUCAGAGAAACUGGGUGUGAAGAUAUUGCAAUGGUUCAGGUGAGAAGACAAAGGCUCAGAGAGGUAACACCUGAAGGCCCCAAAGCAUGUCAGCAACACCAGAAGAUCACCGAUCUUCAGCUUUCCAGACGGUGUUUUCCCAGUAUCUGCUGCUGCCUCAGCCAUCCCUCAUCCUUCAGUGCUCCCACACUGCCUGUGACACGUACACACUCAAAUAUCACUCAUGUAUGCACUAAGGUCUCCAGGAAGAUAAUAAUCCCAGAGUGUUAUUCACAGGAAGUGGACAGCACUUCCUUUAUGCACUUUAUACAUAUGAAUGCAUUAAUCCUUACAAUAACCCUGGAGGUAGCUACUACUAUUAUCCCUACACAGACAUGAAUUUGAGCAAGCUCCGGAAGUUGGUGAUGGACAGGGAGGCCUGGCGUGCUGCAGUCCAUGCAAAAAGUCUUAUACGACUGAGCUACUGAACUGAACUAAACGGUUGCACAGUAUUGUAAAUGGGCUUCCCUUGUAGGUCAGUUGAUAAAGAAUCCGCC